AGAAAGUUAGUCUAAUUAAGACAGUUGAUUUCGACUCAACAAAUCAUAGCCCUAUCCUAUGACUUUCUC
rnacentral:tRNA from 1 species